GACAUACCUCCGUCCUGUGGAACAGCAACGCCUGGGGUCUGCCACCGCAAUGGCUGUGCCCUGAGUCUGAUGUGCGCGUUCCCGUGUGCGGCACCGCCACGGCCCCCACCCCCUCCACCUCCUCCCAGCCGUGCCUGCCUGCCCCUGCCUCUGCGUCCGUGCGACUGAUGAGAAAGCUUAUGUUACUGACACCUCUAGUCUGACACUGUCGGUGACGAGCACACAUCUGUAUAGUUAUCCCUGUCUGAACGCACGCCUAUGCGCGAGUGCGGACUGUAGUGGAAAGUGAGACGGGGUGUUGAGGUUAGCCUGUGUAGCGUGGAAAUAGCGUUGUCUGUGGUGUUAACUGCGGGUCUUGUCAUGUCAUGGUGCUAAGACCAAUGGAUUGUCUUGCUGCUUGCAGAGAUGAGGUGGGUGCUUCUCGGCCUUGUUUGCGGAAGAGGUAUAGGGAAGUUGUAGAGAACGCUGAGGUCGAUGCUUCGGUUGCGGGUGGUGCGUUGCGCUAAAGGAGCUGAUGUUGAUGUGUAAUGAAGCACACAUUUUGCUCUGCAGGGGGCCGGCGCUGUGAAGGUUCUCGUUGGAGUGCGCCUGAGGCGAGAGGCAGCGGCUGCACCAAAACACCCAGGAGGGAGAGAGAAAACGUAAAGAAGAGGGUGUGGAGGAAGGCACUCCAUCCAGAUGUUUCGGCUGACAGAGAGGAGGACCGCCUCCGGGCGUGGUACAUCAUGGCCGCGUGCACCCCCCUCCAUCCUCUCUGCGGGGAAGCCAGGCAGCCCCUCCCCCUAUCCCUGUCAGUGCCGGACCACCCCUCGUGGUGCCAGGGUCAGGUACCUACGACGUAGCGAAGUCAGAGCGAUUUAUCGCUACGGGUGUCGGCGGUCAUGUCCUGGAUGGCGCUGCGUGGGGGAGGCCUGCAGCUGUGAAGGUGUUUGUGCGAACCAUAUGAUGGGCAGUAUGCCGCCCUGACCCGAACGUAUCUCACCCGGCCCUCACCGCGCCCUGGCUCGGGGAGCCCGAGGCGCCCGGAGGGAUGCGCGACGUGGCGACCGGGCACAAGGCGAGCGGCCGUGAGGGGCGACCUUGCGGGGCGGGGAGGGCGGGUAGAGGGUCUGGGGCGGAGGCCGCGCUUCGCUGACUGGGUCGGCGCAUUUCUGCAGCGGCGCGUGUCUACGGCUGCUUGGCGCCACGCGGUGUGGGGGCCUGUGGCUGGGCCGUUGUCCCCAUGCUGUAUGGCAGAGAAAGGGAUACGGUGCGCACGAAAAUAAUCGAUUUGGAAGUGGUGCAGGGAUGUAGGGGAUGGCGAUCGAGACGGUAACGCGGGUGCCCCCUCCGUAGGCACCACUGGUGUGUGUCGGCGAGCCGGCGGCUGAUUUUGCAGCAAAGUAAGCUGCAGAGGCGAAAGGAUAGCGCUGGGAGGAACAGGAAGUCUCCCAGUAGCACACGGGUGGAAGAAGUAGCGGCGUUGUGUUUUUCACGAACGCCCCCUUGCUUCUCUUCGUUUUAUUCCUCCAACGAGCGACGCAUGAAGACUGUCUCGACAACACCUUUCUUUGUUUUCCGUAUCUGUGCCUCUACCCCCCCCCUCCCGGAACACCUUUCUCUCCCUCUUUCUCUCGCUGCCUGUGGUUGUCCUCCAAACCCACCGCAG
rnacentral:misc_RNA from 1 species